ACCAUCUCCUCCCCCGCCGCUUCUCCCCUUCCUUCCUCUUCACAAGCGCCACUGCCAUGCCUCCGCUCAGCCUCUCCAAGCCCAACCACCACCACCACAAGCCGCCGGCCGGCCUCUCCGGCAGCCACCACCACGGCGGCGGCGGCGGCCGCGGCGGCGGCCACCACGGCCACCACCACGGCGCGUCGUCCCUCUGCACGCACUCCCCCUCCGCCACGCUCGACCUCCUCAUCCUCGUCCUCGUCCUCGGCUCCGGCGCCUUCCUGGUCUCCUCCUACUUCUCCUACAUCUUCAACUCCCUCUCCCUCCUCCUCUCCCACCCCGCCGCCGCCACCGCCACCAUCCACCUCCGCCUCGAUCUCCCCGUCGUCCCCUACGCCCUCGGCUUCGCCGCCUUCUUCCUCGUCGCCGUCGCCCUCCACGAGUGCUUCUGCGGCGCCCGCGCCCGCCGCUGCGACCGCCCCGGCUGCAAGGGCCUCAAGAAGGCCAUGGAGUUCGAUUUGCAGCUCCAGACGGAGGAGUGCGCGAGAUCGGGCUCCUCCCGGGAGAUCGACCGCCUCCCCUGGAAGGGCGUCACCGAGUCCAACCCCGAUUACGAGUGCCUCCGCGCCGAGCUCCGGAAGAUGGCCCCGCCCAACGGCCGCGCCGUCCUGCUCUUCCGGGCGCGCUGCGGCUGCCCCGUCGCCAAGCUCGAAGGCUGGGGCCCCAAGAAGGGCCGGCGGCACAAGAAGGGCAAGCAAGCCUAGAUAAUUAACUUCCCUAAAAGCCACCGCCACGGCCAAAGAAAAAAAUCAUAAUGAUCCAAAGGCAUGUGUUUCUUUCAAGAGAAAAAGAAGCUUUCAUCUUCUUAGAUGGUAUUUUGAAUGUAUCUUGGUUAAAGCAGUUGGAAGGAGACUCCGAGGCAUAUUCCAUGCACUAAGGAGAUGGGUAGUUGAUUUUUUUGUAAGUUUAGAAGGAUUUUAUAAUUCUUUUGUCUCCUGGACAACUUAAGAUGGUAUUUUGAAUGUAGCAGUUGGAAGGACACUCCGAAGGCAUAUGCAAUGCACUAAGAGGAUGGGUGGUUGAUUUUUCUGGCCCUGGCCAGUGUUGCUCACAAUGCGAAAGGAGAUAAGGGUUGAUUGUGGCGAUCGCUCUGAGGGGUACAUUUUCUCUGUCCGACAUUUCUACAAUCACGUCCACCUCUCAGAUUUCAGCGUCCUCCUUUCUGGAAGACUUUGCCAUCGAUCAGACAGAAGUACUUUAAUCUUAUUGGUCAUAUCUUCUUCAAUUAUGUCUGGGAAAAAACCUUCCAUGUACUGCACACUUCUAAAUUAUUUGGAAGGAUAUACCGCAUUAUGAUGCAAAUAAGUUCAUAAAUAACAGCUCAGAAUAUUGAAAUUGGAUAGACCUGGUUCAAUAGAGGUUUCUCGAACUCAUUAAGCUUAGCUUCAAGUUUGCUGGUCGAAGUGUCGCGGCAGUGAUCCGAGUGCUUCAUGACCAAGUCACUGCAUCUGUCAAGAAAAAGUUAUGCACUGAACUUGAUAAUUAUAUUGUAUUGCACUAAUCUUUAUUCC